rnacentral:rRNA from 1 species
CCCUUAGAUGUUCUGGGCCGCACGCGCGCUACACUGAUGCAUUCAACGAGUCUAAAACCUGCUCUGAUAGGGGUGGGUAAUCUUUUGAAUGUGCAUCGUGAUUGGGAUAGAUGAUUGCAAUUUUUCAUCUUCAACGAGGGAUGCCUAGUAAACGCAAGUCAUCAGCUUGCAUUGAUUACGUCCCUGCCCUUUGUACACACCGCCCGUCGCUCCUACCGAUUGAAUGAUCCGAUGAAUAUCAUGGAUUGAGGAUGCAAGCAGGUUCGCCUGUCUUCAUCUUCGAGAAGUGAAGUAAAUCUUAUCAUUUAGAGGAAGGAGAAGUCGUAACA